UGGGGAAUAUUGGACAAUGGGGGGAACCCUGAUCCAGCCAUGCCGCGUGUGUGAAGAAGGCCUUAUGGUUGUAAAGCACUUUAAGCGAGGAGGAGGGUACUGGUAUUAAUACUACCAGGUACUGGACGUUACUCGCAGAAUAAGCACCGGCUAACUCUGUGCCAGCAGCCGCGGUAAUACAGAGGGUGCGAGCGUUAAUCGGAUUUACUGGGCGUAAAGCGUGCGUAGGCGGCUAAUUGAGUCGGAUGUGAAAUCCCCGAGCUUAACUUGGGAAUUGCAUUCGAUACUGGUUAGCUAGAGUGUGGGAGAGGAUGGUAGAAAGCCAGGUGUAGCGGUGAAAUGCGUAGAGAUCUGGGGGAAUACCGAUGGCGGAGGCAGCCAUCUGGCCUAACACUGACGCUGAGGUACGAAAGCAUGGGGAGCAAACAGG
rnacentral:rRNA from 1 species